UAAACAAACGCGAACUUAGGGACUUCAGGGCAUCGCUUAAGUACACUUCGUAUGAGAUAGCGGAUAGACAAGCUACACGUGUUAAGGCCGGAUAAUAUUGACGAUUGCUUUCUACUGAAGCGGUUUAUAUUCCAAACGAAUUUGUUUUUGGCGUCUCGCCGUCAGAUAGACUGGCGCUCCAGAAGGUUCCGCUGAUCACGUGAUACGUAAGGACGUCUUGGAAAAUAAUUGAUAAAUUUGAUUCCAGUACCGGUAAGUGCAGUUAUGUUGGCGAGAAGUUUGUUGAGGACAUCGGCGGGUAUCUUUGCGAAGGCUGCGUUGGUUGGAGCGAACACUGUGAAUGGUCCCCCGCUGAGAGUCGCGACAAGGUUGGCCUUCUCCACGGCUUUAAGUUGCAACAGUAUUAUUAUGUUUGGAGUGUUAAUGUAUUAUGUGCAGCAUUUGAUUUGUAUUUAUUAAUAUUUAAUUAAGUAAAAACGUGUCAAACCA